GAGAUGUUAGUAAAAUAUUACAAGGCCUUGUCAUGGCCUAAUUGUUAGCUAAACCUAAUACACCUUGC
rnacentral:tRNA from 1 species